GGGUCUGUAGCUCAGUGGUAGAGCAUGCGCCCAGCAUGCACAAGGUCCUGGGUUCAAUCCCCAACACCA
rnacentral:tRNA from 1 species